CUCCGUCUUUGUAGUCUAGUUCAAAUAAGGUCAAGUUUAUUUUCUGAUGUUUACGCUGAGCGCCUUAUAUCGUUAACUUAAUAAGGAUCGAAGCACUCUUUAAUUUAUAAAUUGAUAGGAUAAUAUUAUGUCUAAUACAACAACAGGAACCGUUAAGUGGUUCAACGAAGCAAAAGGUUUUGGUUUUAUUGAGCAAGCGUCUGGUCCAGAUGUUUUCGCUCAUUUCAGCGCAAUCGUUAGCUCUGGUUUCAAAACUUUAGCAGAAGGUCAAAAAGUUGAAUUUUCAGUCACAGACGGUCCAAAAGGCCCUCAAGCUGAGAACAUCGUUGCACUAUAAGUAACGAUUGAUCUUUGAUUUCAAAAGCCAAGCAUUUGCUUGGCUUUUUUGU
rnacentral:sRNA from 1 species